AAUCUUCCACACUGGGCGAAAGCCUGAUGGAGCAACGCCGCGUGAGUGAAGAAGGUUUUCGGAUCGUAAAACUCUGUUGUAAGGGAAGAACACGUACAGUAGUAACUGGCUGUACCUUGACGUUACCUUAUUACAAAGCCCCGGCUAACUACGUGCCAGCAGCCGCGGUAAUACGUAGGUGGCAAGCGUUGUCCGGAAUUAUUGGGAGUAAAGCGCGCGCAGGUGGUUUCUUAAGUCUGAUGUGAAAGCCCACGGAUCAACCGUGGAGGGUCAUUGGAAACUGGGAGACUUGAGUGCAGAAGAGAAUAGGGGAAUUGCAAGUGUAGCGGUGAAAUGCGUAGAGAUUUGGAGGAAAACCAGUGGCGAAGGCGACUAUCUGGUCUGUAACUGACACUGAGGCGCGAAAGCGUGGGGAGCAAACAGG
rnacentral:rRNA from 1 species